rnacentral:rRNA from 1 species
UACGUAGGGGGCAAGCGUUGUCCGGAAUCAUUGGGCGUAAAGCGCGCGUAGGCGGCCCGGUAAGUCCGCUGUAAAAAGUCCAGGGCUCAACUCCGAGCCUGCGUUCGAUACUGGACGGCUAGAGUCUGGUAGGGGGAUCUGGAAUUCCUGGUGUAGCGGUGGAAUGCGCAGAUAUCAGGAGGAACACCGGUGGCGAAGGCGGCCAUCUGGACGGAUACUGACGCUGAGACGCGAAAGCGUGGGUAGCAAACAGG